UACGUAGGGUGCGAGCGUUGUCCGGAUUUAUUGGGCGUAAAGGGCUCGUAGGCGGCCUGUCGCGUCGGGGAGUGAAAGCCCACUGCUUAACGGUGGGUCUGCUUCCGGUACGGGCGGGCUGGAGUAUGGCAGGGGAGACUGGAAUUCCUGGUGUAGCGGUGGAAUGCGCAGAUAUCAGGAGGAACACCGGUGGCGAAGGCGGGUCUCUGGGCCAUUACUGACGCUGAGGCACGAAGGCCAGGGGAGCAAACGGG
rnacentral:rRNA from 1 species